rnacentral:rRNA from 1 species
UACGUAGGCAGCGAGCGUUGUCGAGUUACUGGGCGUAAAGGGUGUGUAGGCGGUUGUUUAAGUUUGGUGUGAAAUCUCCCGGCUCAAUUGGGAGGGUGCGCCGAAUACUGAAUGACUUCGAGGGUGGUAGAGGCGAGUGGAAUUCCCGGUGUAGCGGUGAAAUGCGCAGAUAUCGGGAGGAACACCAGUAGCGAAGGCGGCUCGCUGGGCCAUUCCUGACGCUGAGACGCGAAAGCUAGGGGAGCGAACAGG